rnacentral:rRNA from 1 species
AUUGAACGCUGGCGGCAUGCCUUACACAUGCAAGUCGAACGGCAGCACGGGAGCAAUCCUGGUGGCGAGUGGCGAACGGGUGAGUAAAGUAUCGGAACGUGCCCAGUCGUGGGGGAUAACGUAGCGAAAGUUACGCUAAUACCGCAUACGAUCUAUGGAUGAAAGCGGGGGAUCGCAAGACCUCGCGCGAUUGGAGCGGCCGAUAUCAGAUUAGGUAGUUGGUGGGGUAAAGGCGCACCAAGCCGACGAUCUGUAGCUGGUCUGAGAGGACGACAAGCCACACUGGGACUGAGACACGGCCCAGACUCCUACGGGAGGCAGCAGUGGGAAAUUUUGGACAAUGGGCGAAGCCUGAUCCAGCCAUGCCGCGUGCAGGAUGAAGGCCUUCGGGUUGUAAACUGCUUUUGUACGGAACGAAAAGGUUUGACUUAAUACGUUGGACUCAUGACGGUACCGUAAGAAUAAGCACCGGCUAACUACGUGCCAGCCGCCGCCGUAAAAC